rnacentral:rRNA from 1 species
CUUACGGGUGUCAGCAGUGAGGAAUAUUGGUCACUGGGCGCGAGCCUGAACCAGCCAAGUAGCGUGAAGGAUGACUGCCCUACGGGUUGUACACUUCUUUUAUAAAGGAAUAGAGUGAGGCACGUGUGCCUUUUUGUAUGUACUUUCUGAAUAAGGAUCUGCUAACUCCGUGCCAGCAGCCGCGGUAAUACGGAGGAUCCGAGCGUUAUCCGGCUUUAUUGGGUUUAAAGGGAGCGUAGAUGGGUUGUUAAGUCAGUUGUGAAAGUUUGCGGCUCAACAGUAAAAGUGCAAUUGAUACUGGCAGCCUUGAGUACAGUUGAGGUAGGCGGAAUUCGUGGUGUAGCGGUGAAAUGCUUAGAUAUCACGAAGAACUCCGAUUGCGAAGGCAGCUUACUAAACUGCCACUGACAUUGAUGCUCGAAAGUGUGGGUAUCAAACAGGAUUAGAUACCCGAGUAGUC